rnacentral:tRNA from 1 species
UGGCUCAGAGGAUAAAGCGUCUGCCUGCAAUGCAGGAGAACCGGGGUUCGAUCCCUG